AGUCUUAUCUCAUUUCACAUCCCCAUCUGAACUCCUUCUUCCUCCUCCUCCUCCUCUUUUCCUCCCAACUCCAGAUCUGCAGCAGCGAUAGAGAGAGAGGGAGAGAGAGAGAGUCUUCCCCUACCGACAAUCUCCAAAGGUUUCCUUGAUUGUCAGGAGGUACAGGAUUGUCUACCCCUUCCAGCCCCGUAAGAACUAGAUCAAUGCUAUGUGCUAAAAGUUGCACACAAAAUAGGUGCGAGUGUCAUGAUAUCCAUGUUUUUAAGAUGCUUGCACAAAUCGAAUCCAAAUGGUGAUUAACUUCCUGGACAACGUCUUAUGAAUCUACUAACCAAGGUGUACGCCACUUCCACAUUUGCUCCACUGUUAGUUCUACCUUCUGUCAGAAAGCAUUCAGUUAAGGAAAGCAUAAUAUGUUUGCCUUCCAUAACAGGCCUAAGAAAUCAUGUGUUUGAACUUUGAAGUAAUGUUAGACAGAUCUAUUACACCCGCAAUGAUGUUAGACUUACGGAUUAUAUUCUACGGAACAGCCUUACGGACUGAUGUGGAAGUUAAUCCCUCCACUUCUCCACGUCUGUCCGUAACCUGAUUCCGUAAAAAAAAGUCCGUAGCUGUAGCAUUGUUGGUUACACCCAUAUGGAAGUGAUGAAUUAUUUAUCUGUUUCCAGAUUACAAUC